rnacentral:lncRNA from 1 species
UGAUUUGUUUAGAGAAGUAUAUCUAUAACACCACUCAGAUCCCUUGAGAAUCUGGAGUUUGGGCCCUAACCUUCUAGCUUCCUAGUGUGGCUAGAUCUAGAAUUUGUGUUAUCAAUUAUAUGGUUGUCAUCCCUUGUGUGGAUUGACCUAAAAUCCCUUAUAGAUUGAUAAAUUGAUAUGCUAUUUUUUCGAGGAAGUUGGUAUUCCC